rnacentral:lncRNA from 1 species
ACUCGGAUAUCACGAUGAGACACUCAAAAAGGUCUCCAAUAGGUUGAAAUCUUCAUCGACCAUGAGGUCUCAGAAAUCACCCCCAAAAACCUCGAAACAGACUUCAUCCAGGACCACGAAGCACACAGAAACAUGAUCGGAUCGUCGUCGAGGCUCUAAUACCAUGUAAACAUCGAGAUUAAACCAAUGAAUCAUGAAAAAUAUAGAGAGAGAAAGUAGAGAGAAGGAGGAGUAGGUGAGAAGUCUCUGGAACUCAG